UACGAAGGGGGGCUAGCGUUGUUCGGAAUUACUGGGCGUAAAGCGUAUGCAGGCGGACUUUUAAGUCGGGGGUGAAAUCCCGAGGCUCAACCUCGGGUCUGCAGUCGAUACGAGCAAACUAGAGUGUUGCAGGGGAGACUGGAAUUCCUGGUGUAGCGGUGAAAUGCGCAGAUAUCAGGAGGAACACCGGUGGCGAAGGCGGGUCUCUGGGCAACAACUGACGCUGAGACGCGAAAGCGUGGGGAGCAAACAGG
rnacentral:rRNA from 1 species